rnacentral:lncRNA from 1 species
GAUGCAAAUCAAUGGCCUAUGUGAGGGGUGCCUCCGUAAGUACUAGCUGGUCUUCCCUCACUCCUUUAACUAAUGAUGAGUAAAUUAGUUGCAAUCUCAUUACAACGUAGUGCAUUUCUCCCUCCCGCUUGCAUACAGAUAGAGCACAAACUCUGUGCUGCUGUUGUUGGCCCUCUCUGUGCUGCUAUAGGUACCCAUGGGCAUGGAAUCCUGUUGUUGCUGCUGCACACGAAGGAAAUCAAUGGUUGGUGAGCUCAAAACGAAAUCAAUGGUGAAGCGCUGGACAUGGAGAGGGGAAAACAGAGACCGUACCAAGUCAAUCAAAUCUCGGGGUAGAAGAAGCUUGAUGAGCUAGGAGAGGCAACGGGAGGUCCAUGGCGUCCUGGGCAGCAGCACAUGACAAGACGCGGAGUAAGGAAGGUCCAUGGCGACCUUGCUCCACUGGAUC